rnacentral:rRNA from 1 species
CGGUGAAUACGUUCCCGGACCUUGUACACACCGCCCGUCAAGCCAUGGAAGCUGGGUGUACCUAAAGUCGGUAACCGCAAGGAGCCGCCUAGGGUAAAACUAGUAGCUGGGGCU